rnacentral:rRNA from 1 species
UACGAAGGGGGCUAGCGUUGCUCGGAAUUACUGGGCGUAAAGGGAGCGUAGGCGGAUAGUUUAGUCAGAGGUGAAAGCCCAGGGCUCAACCUUGGAAUUGCCUUUGAUACUGGCUAUCUUGAGUACGGAAGAGGUAUGUGGAACUCCGAGUGUAGAGGUGAAAUUCGUAGAUAUUCGGAAGAACACCAGUGGCGAAGGCGACAUACUGGUCCGUUACUGACGCUGAGGCUCGAAAGCGUGGGGAGCGAUCCGG